rnacentral:piRNA from 1 species
UGUUUCUUUUGUAGGGGCGAU